rnacentral:rRNA from 1 species
AUACGUAGGGGGCAAGCGUUAUCCGGAAUUACUGGGUGUAAAGGGAGAGUAGGCGGCAUGGUAAGUUAGAUGUGAAAGCCCGAGGCUUAACCUCGGGAUUGCAUUUAAAACUAUCAAGCUAGAGUACAGGAGAGGUAAGUGGAAUUCCUAGUGUAGCGGUGAAAUGCGUAGAUAUUAGGAAGAACACCAGUGGCGAAGGCGACUUACUGGACUGAAACUGACGCUGAGGCUCGAAAGCGUGGGGAGCGAACAGGAUUAGAUACCCUGGUAGUCCACGCCGUAAACGAUGAGUGCUAGGUGUCGGGGGGGAACCCUCGGUGCCGCAGCUAACGCAAUAAGCACUCCACCUGGGGAGUACGACCGCAAGGUUGAA